GAUGAACGCUGGCGGCGUGCUUAACACAUGCAAGUCGAACGGAAAGGCCCAAGCUUGCUUGGGUGCUCGAGUGACGAACGGGUGAGUAACACGUGGGUGAUCUGCCCUGCACUUUGGGAUAAGCCUGGGAAACUGGGUCUAAUACCGGAUAGGACCAUCGUUUAGUGUCGGUGGUGGAAAGUUUUUCGGUGUGGGAUGAGCUCGCGGCCUAUCAGCUUGUUGGUGGGGUAAUGGCCUACCAAGGCGUCGACGGGUAGCCGGCCUGAGAGGGUGUACGGCCACAUUGGGACUGAGAUACGGCCCAGACUCCUACGGGAGGCAGCAGUGGGGAAUAUUGCACAAUGGGCGCAAGCCUGAUGCAGCGACGCCGCGUGGGGGAUGACGGCCUUCGGGUUGUAAACUCCUUUCGCCAAGGACGAAGCGUUUUGUGACGGUACUUGGAGAAGAAGCACCGGCUAACUACGUG
rnacentral:rRNA from 1 species